UACGAAGGGGGCUAGCGUUGCUCGGAAUGACUGGGCGUAAAGGGCGCGUAGGCGGCCCUGCAGGUCCGGCGUGAAAGCCCUGGGCUCAACCUGGGGAGUGCGCUGGAAACGGCGGGGCUCGAGGGUGACAGAGGCUCGCGGAAUUCCCAGUGUAGAGGUGAAAUUCGUAGAUAUUGGGAAGAACACCGGUGGCGAAGGCGGCGAGCUGGGUCACCUCUGACGCUGAGGCG
rnacentral:rRNA from 1 species